GACGAACGCUGGCGGCGUGUCUAAUACAUGCAAGUAGAACGCUGAAGGAGGAGCUUGCUUCUCUGGAUGAGUUGCGAACGGGUGAGUAACGCGUAGGUAACCUGCCUGGUAGCGGGGGAUAACUAUUGGAAACGAUAGCUAAUACCGCAUAAUAGUAGAUGUCGCAUGACAUUUGCUUAAAAGGUGCAAUUGCAUCACUACCAGAUGGACCUGCGUUGUAUUAGCUAGUUGGUGAGGUAACGGCUCACCAAGGCAACGAUACAUAGCCGACCUGAGAGGGUGAUCGGCCACACUGGGACUGAGACACGGCCCAGACUCCUACGGGAGGCAGCAGUAGGGAAUCUUCGGCAAUGGACGGAAGUCUGACCGAGCAACGCCGCGUGAGUGAAGAAGGUUUUCGGAUCGUAAAGCUCUGUUGUAAGAGAAGAACGAGUGUGAGAGUGGAAAGUUCACACUGUGACGGUAUCUUACCAGAAAGGGACGGCUAACUACGUG
rnacentral:rRNA from 1 species